rnacentral:lncRNA from 1 species
AAGGACUCUUAUAAUUAUUAAGUGCCAUUAAAAAUUCCAGUGCAAAACUCAUCUGUGUAAUUAGGUCAGUAUCAAUUACCCUGAUAGAAUGAGUCAGGUCUCUCCAGCAUUAAACACCAGCUACAUACAACAAACAUCCUCAAAGAGGGAAAAUCCAGAAUGAACCAGCUGGGAACAAAAAUAAAUCUGGGAAAGGAUGUCACACUCUUAACCACCCACACAGAGCAGGAGGUCCAUGUUCUCCCCUAAAGCACACUUGGAGUGUGGAAAAAGCACAGGCAAGCACAAAAGGACCCUCACAUGUGCUGGAACUGCCUGGGAAGUGGAAUAAGGGACCAGGCAUCAUCAUCUGAGAUUCAGUGCAUUGUGUCUGUGCCAGUUCCUCCUCCCAAGACACAGGCACAUAUUUCACUUCACUCUCCAGCAGGCAGCUGCAACUCCAUCACAUAGGAUGGCUCAGGCUCAGAGGAGAGCUGGGAAAUGAAACAAAUUAUAGCAUAAGCAAAUGCUAUUUCAGUGUAGCAAAUUGAAGGAUGUCAGUUCCAAACUUAAAUCAAACAUGAAUAUUCUUGAAAAGUUUUGAGAUGCUUCAAUUAGAGGUCCAAAGACAACCCCUCCAUAAUGCCCCUACUGUGGCAUUCACUUUCUGAUGGCUCUGAACCCAAUUUUUUCACAUUUAAUAUUAUUCCACUUAUAGCUAAAAUGGUUCAUCUUACUUUCCUGUGAGGAAGAAAGCACAGGAAUUAAAAAUUAGAAAGCUGGAGAAGAAUAAAUGGAUAAUCAGCAUUGAAUAAGAACUGCUGACAUGAAGAUACACUUCACAGAGGAAACAAAAACCCUCUUCACUGCAUAGAUAACCACUGACUACCUAUAAAUCUUCAAUUUUUCCUGUCAUUCUUUGUUACUAAAAGAUCACCAGGGCAUCAGGUUUAAGUUGUAUCACUGAUGGCUGUAUCAACACCCCCUGGGGAUGGUUCAGUCAAAAAAGACAUGGAAAAUAUUCCCAGUGUUCACUUAAACUGCAUCUAGGGAGGAGGCAGCUUUCUGACAAUCUUCUCAUUCUUGGAGCACUGGAUGACUGGAUGCUGGAUGUUCAUACAGCACAGGAUUUGUUGUAGAGCUCUUUGCCAGUGAAGGUUAAAAAAAAAAAAAAAAAAGAGAAAUUCCUGGAAGAUAAUUUUGCUGCUUGUCACCAACCACUGAGGUCUAGAAGCAGCUUCUAAAGAUUAAAGGCUCUCAGGAGCUACCAGAAGUGUUUGUUCUUUCUCUGAGGGGCUGGAAGGCCAAUGGAGCCCUGGGGAGGUCCAGCUCUUCCUUGAGCAUACUUUAGAACAAUCCAGAUUGUAUUUUUAUGGAGAAGAGAUGACAGCUCUAAGAACAAAUUCCCAGACUAGUUCCAACAAGGAGCCUCUCUGAAAACUGAAGGGCACAAACAAAACUCACCUCUCUUGAAAGUCAUCCAGUUUCCAGGUAUCACAAAGCUGAAACACAAAGGUUUCAGCUUUCUUGAUGGGGAUACUCACCAUUAUCUUCUGCUAAGCAUCAUUGCUGCUGGCACUGGAUCCAAUUUAUGCAGGACAGGCCUAAGAAUAACAAUUCACUCGGCCUCUCUGGCAUUUAUGUUCUCAUAAACAAAGUGGACAAGAAGUAACAAGAUGAUGAAACUUUUAGGUCUCUUGGGCAGCAGCCAAACCUAAAUCUAAAGCAGAAGUCUGUUUUCUUACAUACUAGAAAGAUUGAAAGGAAAAUGAGACUAUUUCCUUGGGGUUUUUAUCUUUAAAAAAUUUCCCCUGCUUCCCACUGUGACUAAAUAAGAUAUCCACCAAAGUGAGGGUUCUUUUUUUAGUUCAUCUCAGCCUAGUGUUUCCUACCCUGGCAAGAUUUUGUAACAUCUGUAGUGGGGAUUUCUUCCCAUCCACUGCUCCUCCCCCCAUUUGUUUCUCAAAAAUAAUUUGUAUAUGUUUGAAUAUGGGACAACAAGAAAUGCAAACUGUUAUGCAGAUUUUGGAAAAGAAGAAAAGCACAAGGGCUCUCUAGGGACAUAAACAUGCUUCUGUUUUCUUCAAUAUUGCUGAACAAUAAUUCAAAGCUCAGUAAAAUUUUGCUCUAAUAGCAGGCACACAGGUGAGCUUUCAGGUCUGAUCUGCUAAAGACAGGUGAGAGCCUCCCCACUUGGCCAAGCACUUCUAUAGACUGAGCAUAGACCAUACCACUAUUUCCAGCCCCACCACAAUCUAAUGUUGCAGGAUAGCAGGAAAGCAAGAGCACAGAAUAUUAAGAACCAGAAUGAUCCUACAGGUAAGAAGACAGAGAAGAAGUGGCUUGAAGGAUGAUGUUUUCUGAACAGUGUGGAUGUGAUGUCCCCAAAAAGAGGCAAAAUUUGGGCUGUCAUAAGACAUUGACUUUUCUGGAAGAGGGGGAGUAUCAGUGACAGGAGUGGUGAGGAAAAACAUGACACAUUUAAGACAAAUGAGGAAACACAAAUGAAUCAUCUUUACAGAAUUCAGCCAAAAUUUAUCCAGAGGGAUGGAGGAAGAGGGGAAAAGGACACAAAAAUACAGCCACAGCAAAUCCUAAGCUGCAGGCAUGGUCUUAAAAAUCUAACAGGG